CCACCAAGCUAGGGGUCCUGACCGCAAAACAUUCGCGCUCGGGUGAGAAAUACCCUUGAACCUGAUCUGGAUAAUGCCAGCGAAGGGAAGCUCCGGAACCCACCC
rnacentral:ncRNA from 2 species